AUAAUCUUAAAAAUGAAGAAAUGUUAAAGGAAAGAGAACAUUACAAUAAUAAAAAUAUCUAAGCAAAAUCGACAAAAUUUAAGAGUCCUGAAUUGGGAAAUAAUGAAAUAAAUUAGUCCUUAGAAGCAAAAUAAAAUAAAAAUAAAAAUCGAGAGUCAAGAACAGCUGUGUUAUUCUGUUUUGUGAUAUUUUAGGAAUAUUAAAGAUAUUAACAAGUUGGGAGGAGAAAAACAAGUCAGAAUGACGUGUAUGAUUAUCUCCAUUUGCUGUGUUUUGACCAACCUUUGAGUCAGCAUCUACUCAGAUUUCAUAUCCUUUUUUGUAUUUUUCUAUGAUUACUCUUUCUAUUUUAAACCUGAUUUUGUUUUUAUAUUAUUCGAUAAAAAUGAUCUAGACUUGAACUUAAAGCAUCUAUAUACUAUAUUAAAAGGGAUAUAUGAGCUCCUCUAAGCUAUGCCACGUUUUUUAAUAAAUUUAACCAAUCAGAGAACAUUGUUUUGCCAUGUCAUACAAUUUUUUUACGACUAGAUUUCAAGCAGGCCAUUUCUAUGGGCUGAUAAAAUUCUUCACUGGCCCACCUAAAACACACAUUUCCAAAGGUGAAUUUUUGUAUCCCUUUCCAACCGUGCUCUUCCUAAACCUUGAUAAUGGUGAUGAUCGAUCCUAAUUUUGUCGCUUGCGCUCCUGCAAACCACCGUUUCUUCUCUGAAUUAAUCACGAGCGUGGCUCGAUCAUUUACUUAUGUUCUUGAUCCAUUCUUAAUUAUUCGUUUCACCUCCUACCGUACCUUUUCCUAAUUCAGUUCAACCCAUAAAUCCUAAAUAGCCUAAUUCAUAAAGUCUCGCUUCACUCCUCCAUCUUCGUCUUCUUCAUUGUUUCCUUAUGUUUUCUAUACAUUUUGAAAAACCCAAUUCAUAGCCGCCCAUUUCAGAGAGCCUCUUUGUCCUCUUCUUCGUCUAUACGUAAAUUCAUCAGCUAGAUAUAUUGAAAAAUGGCGGAUGGUGAAGAUAUUCAGCCCUUCGUUUGCGAUAACGGGACCGGAAUGGUCUAAGCUUGCACCAUUUGACCCAACCAAUAAGAAGAAGAAAAAAGUUGUCAUUUUGGAACCUAUCGAGGAUUCUACUGAGUCACAUGCGGAGAAAUCUGAUUCAUUGCCUGCUAACUGGGGCUUUGAGAAUUCACUUUCUACAGUGAAGAAAAGUAGAAGCCAGUGCCUGCAGCUAAAUGCUUUUUAAACUGAUGUGUUGAUGAUUGUGUGCCUCACAUUGUUUUUGUUUCUAUGGAUAGGUUGAAUCACAGCUCAUUGAAUGAAAAACAGUAUCACUGGUGCUGAAGAUUUGGAAGUGGGAUCAGUGGGCUUAUGCUACUGUCUAUAUACUACAGAUUCCAACGACAUCAUAUCUUCACAGCCAAAAAGGGGAAGAUGAACAUGGUGACUUGAAGCCCGCCUUUAUCACUGAUGGUGGAAACUAAAUUCUAGAAGGUGCUCGCAGGAGUGAUUUACAGAAUCAAGAUGCUACUGUGAAUUCUGCUGACCCAAAAGAGGCAAGAGUAUUAAAGAGAUUCACUUCGUCCGAUUCAAUCCCAUCGACAUAUAUUGAUGGUAAUGGAGACUGGCACCGAGUAAGCAAAGGGAGCUCCAGAGCAGAUUCUCGAUCUUUGCAACACAAGGAAGAAAGACCACUGCAAUUGAUAAGUGUACUCUGCGUGGACUGAGGGUCCUUAGCUGUUGCAAGACGGACUGUACCAGAGAAAACAAAAAAAAAAUCUCUGGUGGUUCAUGGGAAUUCGUUGGUGGAUUGCCUUUGUUUGAUCCUCCGCAUACACCAUUAGAAGAGCUUCAGACCUCGGUGUCAACAUCAAUGAUCACUGGUUAUCAACUUGCUAUUGCCAAGCUCGGUAUGGGAUCAAACAUGUAUCCAUAGCACCAGCUUCUCUACUUGGAUAAGAAAUCCAUCCGUGGGAGUUUAGGCAACAACCAAGUGACGUUUUUCUAAUCUCUUGAUUCAAAACUCUGAUCCAUGACAUUCAGCAAGAAUACAGAGAAGUUGUAGAGAGGCGUGUGUUUACAGGUGUUGUGUUACUUCUUGACAAUGGUAGUUACUCUCAACUAGCAGAUGAAAAGGCAAGG